UCUCUGGUGGUCCAAUGGUUAAGACUCUGCAUUUCCAAUGCAGGGGCUACAGGUUCCCUGUUUUGGGGAA
rnacentral:tRNA from 1 species